rnacentral:rRNA from 1 species
AAUGCUGACAUAAGUAACGAUAAAGCGGGUGAAAAGCCCGCUCGCCGGAAGACCAAGGGUUCCUGUCCAACGUUAAUCGGGGCAGGGUGAGUCGACCCCUAAGGCGAGGCCGAAAGGCGUAGUCGAUGGGAAACGGGUUAAUAUUCCCGUACUUGGUGUUACUGCGAAGGGGGGACGGAGAAGGCUAUGUUGGCCGGGCGACGGUUGUCCCGGUUUAAGCGUGUAGGUGUGUGUUCCAGGUAAAUCCGGUUCACUUUAAC